ensembl:miRNA gga-mir-1462 gga-mir-1462
GGCAGUGCUGAGUGCAGCUCUCUCCCUGGCUUUCCAUGACAGGUUGGUACCUCUCAUCCUUCCUAUCUGUCCUUGUGAGCCCCAGAGUGAGUGCUGCUGUGUCUCUGCUC